GCCCGGUUAGCUCAGUCGGUAGAGCAUCAGACUUUUAAUCUGGGGGUCGGGGUUGGAGCCCACCAUCGGGCG
rnacentral:tRNA from 1 species